rnacentral:lncRNA from 1 species
GCCUUCUGUCCAGCCCCUUUCCCUCCAUCCGGCCCCCAACCACGCACAGCUUCUGAGUUUAAUUUGGAGAUGGAGAGAAUUGGCAGUAAAAUGGCCAAAGUUGCUCUUUGAAAGGUGUCUGACUCUGGAUGAUAGGAAUGCUGUUUUGGUCAGAAACCCAAGGAUAAAGGCCGGUGCUCCCUCUUCCCUGGUGGACACCUGUGGCUUCCGAAGUUGUAUUUGAGCCCUUCGGAGACUCUAGGGGUAGCGCUCACUUCUCUGUGGCCCCCGGAGGCAGCAGCAAGGCCAUUCCCACAGCUUAGCAGGAGCAAAGAGCAUGACAGAGGGUUUUCCUGGAAAGACUCACGGCAGAAAUACAACAGUGGACACUCCCAUUUCCUGACGGCAUCUGCAGUGUGCACGCAAGAGGACAGUGGUUAAGGAGGACAAGAGCUCUGUGGACAGAUUGCAGUGCACUUUCCAGUAGACCUGAAGGGGUCCUCCAUCGUGGACUUGACCCAGAGGCUCCACUCGGUAGCGCUGAUGGGUCCAUGGAACUGCUGAGUGUUGUUUCACCCUUGGGGUUUGCAGCAAUGUGUGAUCAACUGAAAACUUGUUAUGUAGCAUCGCUG